UACGAAGGGGGCUAGCGUUGCUCGGAAUCACUGGGCGUAAAGCGCACGUAGGCGGCUUUUUAAGUCAGGGGUGAAAUCCUGGAGCUCAACUCCAGAACUGCCUUUGAUACUGGGAAGCUUGAGUCCGGAAGAGGUGAGUGGAACUCCGAGUGUAGAGGUGAAAUUCGUAGAUAUUCGGAAGAACACCAGUGGCGAAGGCGGCUCACUGGUCCGGUACCGACGCUGAGGUGCGAAAGCGUGGGGAGCAAACAGG
rnacentral:rRNA from 1 species